rnacentral:rRNA from 1 species
GAUGAACGCUGGCUACAGGCUUAACACAUGCAAGUCGAGGGGAAACGACGGGGAAGCUUGCUUCCCCGGGCGUCGACCGGCGCACGGGUGAGUAACGCGUAUCCAACCUGCCUCUGACUGAGGGAUAACCCGUCGAAAGUCGGCCUAAUACCUCAUGGUAUCGUCUGCGGGCAUCCAACGACGAUUAAAGAUUUCAUCGGUCAGGGAUGGGGAUGCGUCUGAUUAGCUUGUUGGCGGGGUAACGGCCCACCAAGGCUACGAUCAGUAGGGGUUCUGAGAGGAAGGUCCCCCACAUUGGAACUGAGACACGGUCCAAACUCCUACGGGAGGCAGCAGUGAGGAAUAUUGGUCAAUGGGCGAGAGCCUGAACCAGCCAAGUAGCGUGCAGGAAGACGGCCCUAUGGGUUGUAAACUGCUUUUAUGCGGGGAUAAAGUGAGGGACGUGUCCCUCAUUGCAGGUACCGCAUGAAUAAGGACCGGCUAAUUCCAUGCCAGCAGCCGCGGUAAUACGGAAGGUCCUGGCGUUAUCCGGAUUUAUUGGGUUUAAAGGGAGCGUAGGCCGUGGAUUAAGCGUGUUGUGAAAUGCAGGUGCUCAACGUCUGCACUGCAGCGCGAACUGGUCCACUUGAGUGUGCGCAACGCAGGCGGAAUUCGUCGUGUAGCGGUGAAAUGCUUAGAUAUGACGAAGAACUCCGAUUGCGAAGGCAGCUUGCGGGAGCACAACUGACACUGAAGCUCGAAAGUGCGGGUAUCGAACAGG